rnacentral:rRNA from 1 species
GUGUCAGCAGCCGCGGUAAUACGGGGGGGGCAAGCGUUGUUCGGAAUUACUGGGCGUAAAGGGCCAGUAGGCGGCCAACUAAGUCGGAUGUGAAAUCCCCAGGCUUAACCUGGGAACUGCAUCCGAUACUGGAUGGCUUGAAUUCGGGAGAGGGAUGCAGAAUUCCAGGUGUAGCGGUGAAAUGCGUAGAUAUCUGGAGGAAUACCGGUGGCGAAGGCGGCAUCCUGGACCGACAUUGACGCUGAACGGCGAAAGCUAGGGGAGCAAACGGGAUUAGAAACCCUGGUAGUCC